GGAUCCAGACUUUGAUUCGGCUCGGGACGAACGCUGGCGGCGUGCCUAACACAUGCAAGUCGAACGGAACUGUUUUGAAAGAUUUCUUCGGAAUGAAUUUGAUUUAGUUUAGUGGCGGACGGGUGAGUAACGCGUGAGUAACCUGCCUUCAAGAGGGGGAUAACAUUCUGAAAAGAAUGCUAAUACCGCAUGACAUAUCGGAACCACAUGGUUCUGAUAUCAAAGAUUUUAUCGCUUGAAGAUGGACUCGCGUCCGAUUAGUUAGUUGGUGAGGUAACGGCUCACCAAGACCGCGAUCGGUAGCCGGACUGAGAGGUUGAACGGCCACAUUGGGACUGAGACACGGCCCAGACUCCUACGGGAGGCAGCAGUGGGGGAUAUUGCGCAAUGGGGGCAACCCUGACGCAGCAACGCCGCGUGAAGGAUGAAGGUUUUCGGAUUGUAAACUUCUUUUAUUAAGGACGAAGAUUGACGGUACUUAAUGAAUAAGCUCCGGCUAACUACGUGCCAGCAGCCGCGGUAAUACGUAGGGAGCAAGCGUUGUCCGGAUUUACUGGGUGUAAAGGGUGCGUAGGCGGCUUUGCAAGUCAGAUGUGAAAUCUAUGGGCUCAACCCAUAAACUGCAUUUGAAACUGUAGAGCUUGAGUGAAGUAGAGGCAGGCGGAAUUCCCCGUGUAGCGGUGAAAUGCGUAGAGAUGGGGAGGAACACCAGUGGCGAAGGCGGCCUGCUGGGCUUUAACUGACGCUGAGGCACGAAAGCGUGGGUAGCAAACAGGAUUAGAUACCCUGGUAGUCCACGCUGUAAACGAUGAUUACUAGGUUGUGGGGGGGUCUGACCCCUUCCGUGCCGGAGUUAACACAAUAAGUAAUCCACCUGGGGAGUACGGCCGCAAGGUUGAAACUCAAAUGAAUUGACGG
rnacentral:rRNA from 1 species